CCAGACUCCUACGGGAGGCAGCAGUGGGGAAUAUUGCACAAUGGGGGAAACCCUGAUGCAGCGACGCCGCGUGAAGGAAGAAGUAUUUCGGUAUGUAAACUUCUAUCAGCAGGGAAGAAAAUGACGGUACCUGACUAAGAAGCCCCGGCUAACUACGUGCCAGCAGCCGCGGUAAUACGUAGGGGGCAAGCGUUAUCCGGAUUUACUGGGUGUAAGGGGAGCGUAGACGGCCAUGCAAGCCUGGAGUGAAAGCCCGGGGCCCAACCCCGGGACUGCUCUGGGAACUGUGCGGCUGGAGUGCGGGAGGGGCAGGCGGAAUUCCUGGUGUAGCGGUGAAAUGCGUAGAUAUCAGGAGGAACACCGGCGGCGAAGGCGGCCUGCUGGACCGCGACUGACGUUGAGGCUCGAAAGCGUGGGGAGCGAACAGGAUUAGAUACCCUAGUAU
rnacentral:rRNA from 1 species